GUGAAACCCUAGAAAUGAAUCUAAUGAAAUGUUCACUGGAUUACUGGGUAAGAUGUUACUCUAUAUACCUGAAGGAGUGGAUAAGAUAAACCAGCUGCCAGCGUGCUGAAAUGAGACACAGAGAUUCAUGAUAUGUUCACCUGCUACCUGCUUUGGGUCUGAACCAUGGUUGGCUACAGGGCAGCCAGAAAAGAAGAGAAAAGUAAAGGAGAAAGAGAAGAAGAGGAGGAGAAGGAGAAGAGGAGGAAGAGAAAGAAGAGGAGAAGCAGGAGUCUCUCCAGGGCCUUCGAAAACACAGAAUCAGAUCAGGUAAGAAUACAAAGUUCUACUUUAGAAAAUAUAAUUCAAGAACCUAUUUCUUAAGAAAGUGUUCUCAUUUACAGGAGGAGGAAAACACAUGAAAGACACUUUGGGAGGCCAAGUUGGGGUCAGAAGUUCAAGACCAGCCUGGCCAACAUGGUGAAACUUCAUCUCUACUAAACAAUGCAAAAAUUCGCCUGGCAUGGUGGCGCACACCUGUAGUCCCAGGUACUCGGGAGGCUGAGGUGGGAGAAUCUCUUGAACCCGG
rnacentral:lncRNA from 10 species